ACGACCGUAACACAUUGAAAACAUCGGUCAAUCACCGAAGUUAAGCAAUAUCAGGUCUGGUUAGUACUUGGGAGGGUGACCACCUGGGAACACCGGGUGUAUUAUU